UGGGGAAUAUUGCACAAUGGGGGAAACCCUGAUGCAGCGACGCCGCGUGAGCGAAGAAGGUUUUCGAAUCGUAAAGCUCUGUCCUAUGGGAAGAUAAUGACGGUACCAUAGGAGGAAGCCCCGGCUAACUACGUGCCAGCAGCCGCGGUAAUACGUAGGGGGCAAGCGUUGUCCGGAAUCACUGGGCGUAAAGGGUUCGCAGGCGGAAAUGCAAGUCAGUUGUGAAAGGCAGAGGCUCAACCUCUGUAAGCAAUUGAAACUGUAUUUCUUGAGAUGUGGAGAGGCAAGUGGAAUUCCUAGUGUAGCGGUGAAAUGCGUAGAUAUUAGGAAGAAUACCGGUGGCGAAGGCGACUUGCUAGACACAAACUGACGCUGAGGAACGAAAGCGUGGGUAGCAAACAGG
rnacentral:rRNA from 1 species